GUGGGGGGUGGAUUGUGUUGAUAAUUUUCAAAUUUUCUGUGCAAAAAUUGAUGGGUUUUAUGUAGUUAUGCUAAAUAGUGAUAGGUUUCCUAUGAUUUGUUCAUAUUGUUGAAUAAUUUUUGCUGUGGUUUUACUCACGACCAAUUCAUUUAUUGGCAUUAUGUUCUGGAUUUGAUGCAGUUGUUUAUGCGGCACCUGAGAGCCUGUUGAAUGUUGGGGUUGACAUGGGGACAAGGGAAUGGGUAAUGCAAGGUGUGUCCUCAGCCCUGACCAUUUUAAUCCGAUCUCAUUUUAGCUUGAGCUUGGAGUUUGAGGUAAUCCUUAAUGUUUUGGUCUGGGGAUAAUUUUGGCGGUUUUGAAAGCAAAAGGCUUCAUUCAACAAGCCAAAAUAAAAAAAGGCUAAUUUUUUUUAUGAAAUAACGUUAGUUCUUUUAUUUUACUUUUCUCAUAUGAAUGAAACCCAUAUAUAACCAAGUAUGCUUUAUCAUUACUGUCCUUUCUUAAUCAUUAGGAGCAAACAUUUUAUCAAACGGAGCCUGAAUUUGUAAUAUGUGCUUAUAAAAUAUAUUUGCAUAGAUACUGCUUAGCACCGCAGAGCAGCUGAGUUAAUAAACUGGUGUGCUUCUGGUGUUGCUGUCUUGGUUUGGAAUCCCUGGAUUGACCUGUUACCUACAAUAUAUAUGUGCCUUGAAAUUGUGGAUGUUUCUUAUGAUUGUUAUUCAUUGUUGUCCCGACUAUCUGGAGCAAACCGACUCUUCGCAAGGGCAAGCCAGCAAGGCUUUGUGUUGCGCACACUUGACACUUUCUGAUACAAUUUCAGCAUCCACCCUGGAAUGCCAUUGGGACUUUUAUCUAAUAAAACUUGCUAGUUGCACCCUUCUGUAAUUUGUAUUCAAUGUCUGUUUUACUGGCAGAUUUCUAUAGCUUAAGGAGGGUUGUUGAAGCAGCCUCAGAGCGUGUUGAAGAGAUUAGAACUUCGGCUGGCAUCAGCAAUUAGAACAAGAACUUGCAGAUUUAGAAUUGAGAGCAGCUAAGAGCUCCUUUUGGGAUGACCGUGGUAGAGCUCAAGACUCUCAAGUCAUAUGCAUUCAUGUGUAAGAGAGGUUGUAUAGGCACCCAUGGUAUAGAACACCAGCAAAUCACCGACUUUUAGCUCAGUCAACGUGCACUUAUUCACGACAAGGUCAAAUGAAUCACAAGUAGGUCCAAAUAUAGUCGAUGAAGUAACCACUGAAUCUGCAUAAUUACUAUCUUCAUUUUGCAGCAGUAACGGCUUGAAAAUCAUAGAGGAACGAUCGUACACUGCAAGGUUAAAUGACCCAUAAAUCCCAUCAUCAAUCCAGUACUGAAUUUCCUCUUCUCUUAUCACUCGUUUCCCUAUCACAUUUGUCACCAUGGUGAAUGCAGUUUCAGCAAAGUGAUAAGAAAUAAAAAUAUGUGGAGGUGGGUAUGGUACGACGCUGAUGUGCGUGUAUAUAAGCUGCUAAUUGUUUUGGCCCCAGCUUCAACUACUUGCAUGAAGGUAUUUGUUUAUGAAUCAGAGAACAUUGAAGAAUUAUAAGCUGCUACAGAUGAAGCUAUUUGUUUAAUUACAAGUUGAUAUAUAUAUUAUAAAUUAUAAAUCAUAAAGUGAAUUAUGAUUUGGGCUGCUAAUCUUGAUGAUUUGAUAUAUUACCAAAUCAAGAAAUAUAAAAAUGUGUAGACGAGCUGUAUAUUGGAUUUUGCGUAUCAGAAUGUGAUCAAUA
rnacentral:misc_RNA from 1 species